UCCAGACCUGCAGCUCUGCUGGACUGCUGCUCCUCCUACUCUUUGUUUUAAGACUCUUUCCACUGCUGGAGCUCUGUGGUCAGAGCCUGCCUGCAAGUUCAAGUGAAGAUUUUCAUUGCUUUUGCUCAUUUGAAAAUAGAGGAAGAAGACUGACACAGAUAUAAGGAGUCUAUCACUUUUGGGGCCUGAAUGAAGAUGAGCUUGAGAAUUUUACUGAUGAAUCAAAUAAUGAAUAUCCAGAAGUUCCUGGAGCUGAGGGUGGUGGCAGUCCAACCAGGAACGGGCUGGAUUUUCACUACCAGUACCAGCCUAUCACUGGAAAGACAGAAAGUUCAUUCCCAGUUUGUGCCCAGAUCCUGUAUGGCAGAAGAUUUUGCCUUUUAUUUGAUUUCAAGAUGUAAAACCAGGUGAGAGACUGAAUGUGACUGAUAACAAACCUGUUACUACUCUCCAGCAUUGGGCAGAAACCCCAAAGUAAGACAUCUUUCAUCCCAUCUUUAAUGAAUCACCUGGCUCAGUGAAAAAACCCUCAUCUCUCACUCUGGUUUUCAUCAAGUGCUGCCGGAGAGCUGCUGUAAUAACACAAGCAGCUUGCUCAGCCUGGAUCCAUCAUGUGUAAGGGAUUAGUCCCCUCAAACUGUGCUUGAUGCGUUUUGACAGACAAUACCCAGCUAAUUUAAACACAAGGUUUGAGUAAAUAAGUACAAAGCAUCUCCCUGCUUUCCUGUUAGUUGAAUUUCAAGCUGAGAGAAGCCACUUUUUAUCUCACCAUUGGAUCUGUCGAGUUACCAGAUAUCUGCAUUUUUCAGUGGUAAAUGUAUGAGCAGGAGGUUGUUUUGACCCUUACCAUCUUUUCAGAGACAUCAGUUUAACACCAACAUGCAUGAGGAGUUGUAGAGGUCCUGCACUGUGUGUGUAGCAAUGGGCUUUAGAGGAGUUUGGUAGAAAUCAUGUUUCUUCUGUCCAUUUAUGCUGUUUGUAAUUAAGGGCCUCAUUAAUGUCGUAGCAUAUGUUGUUUAGGAUGCAUAAGCAGGAAUGCUGAAAUGUGUUAGAAUCCAAUUUAAGGCUCAGGGCUUCAAGCCUGAGGAAUUUUCACCAACAUUAAUGGGAGUCACAGAUAUGAAAGCAUUCACUGAGUUACAAAAUUCAUUUUCCUUCCUCAAUGCUGUCAGUAAUUUUUAAGAACUGUCUCUAAUUUCUAUCAAACCUGGCCACAAUGCCCUAAACAUAAUCCCUUAGCACAAUGCAAUAAUUGGAGAUAAAGUCUUUCUGAAAGCAACAUGCUAAUAAAUCUUUUAAAGAUUGAAAACCUUGCAACUGUGUAACUUACAGUGUUGUAU